GAAUGCAUCAGUGCACUUGGGCCUGUGUACUGGGAGUGAUGGUUAUUAUUACAUGUCAGCUUGGCAAGGUCAUGGUACCCAGGUACUUGGUCACACAUUUUUAUAGAUAUUUUAUGAAGGUUUUAGGUGUGUGUGUGUGUGUGUGUGUGUGUGUGUGUGUGUGUGUGUGUUUAGAAGAGAU